rnacentral:lncRNA from 1 species
GGUGAAGAUGAGAAUGAUGAUGAAGAUGUUCAGGCUAAUAUUAAUGUGGGAGAACCUCAAUCUCGUUUGCACGAACCCCCAUAAUUUUUUAACGAUAUAAAUUGAGAUGAUGGUGGUUGUGUUAGUGCUGGUCGAAGAUUGAACUCUGACUAUCAGUUUUGGGACUCCUCGAUGACUGAAUUUUCUAAAGGUCUAAUGUUUGAGAGUAAAGAUUAUGUAAGGAGAGCUGUUGAUCUUUAUCACAUUAUGAAGCAUCGGACAUACAAUGUAGUUCAAUCGCAUUCGAAAUUAUGGUCCGUACGAUGCGCAUCAUCAGAUAAUGUUCAAAAUUGUAAAUGGAGGCUUCGUGCUGUAUUGUUGAAAAAAUAUGGAUAUUUUCAAAUCACAAAAUAUGAGGGUCCUCACACUUGUUUGUUUACGGGGUUGAGUCGAGACCACAAA